rnacentral:rRNA from 1 species
CAGCAGCCGCGGUAAUACGGAGGGCGCGAGCGUUAAUCGGAUUUACUGGGCGUAAAGCGUGCGCAGGCGGCCCGUUAAGACAGGUGUGAAAUCCCUGGGCUCAACCUAGGAAUUGCGCUUGUGACUGGCGGGCUCGAGUACGGUAGAGGGGGGUGGAAUUCCUGGUGUAGCAGUGAAAUGCGUAGAGAUCAGGAGGAACACCGAUGGCGAAGGCAGCCCCCUGGGCCUGUACUGACGCUCAUGCACGAAAGCGUGGGGAGCAAACAGGAUUAGAUACCCUGGUAGUCCACGCCCUAAACGAUGGGUACUAGCCGUUUGGUGCGCGAUAGCGCUGAGUGGCGAAGCUAACGCGUGAAGUACCCCGCCUGGGGAGUACGGCCGCAAGGUUGAAACUUAAAGGAAUUGGCGGG